rnacentral:rRNA from 1 species
UACGUAGGGGGCUAGCGUUGUCCGGAAUCAUUGGGCGUAAGCGCGUGUAGGCGGUCCGGUAAGUCCGCUGUGAAAGUCGGGGGCUCAACCCUCGAAUGCCGGUGGAUACUGUCGGGCUAGAGUGCGGAAGAGGCGAGUGGAAUUCCUGGUGUAGCGGUGAAAUGCGCAGAUAUCAGGAGGAACACCAAUUGCGAAGGCAGCUCGCUGGGACGUAACUGACGCUGAGACGCGAAAGCGUGGGGAGCAAACAGG